UUUGUAGAUUGUAUGGUUAACCUCAUCUCUUUCUUGGCAGGUACCUCUCUAUUAUGAUGGGAUUGGGGGCAUACGUUUGUCAUUAAAACUUUCUGACUCUAGCCAAACACCUAUAGAGAUUGGAUUGGAUCUGGAGAAAUUGUUGCAGAAGGUUAUUUUAUUUCAAGUGACCCAAAGGAUGAGGUUCACCAUGUUCCUCUUGGGCCUAGUGCUAUGAAAGUGGGGAUAGAUCUUGUGAGAAAGAAUGAUGCAUUUCUGUGGAGGCCUUCAACAGUUAUGUCUACUAUAGAAGAUGCUAUAGGUAGUAUAAUUGCAUGGCCAGCUGAUAAAGUUAUAAUUAGCUAAGCAAAUGGACUCACAACAAAGACAAGUGCACAAAGGAUGAUGAAUUGAAGGAUGGAGCAAGUUUCGUUUACUUUUGUGUAUCUUGUAAUGUUUCUAUUUUUCAUUUUUGAAGUAAAAAUUGUUCAAGAUUAUAAAACUUUAUUAUGUUAUGCUUUCAAACUUAAGUUAGAACUAAGAUCUCAUGAAGUAGACACAUUCAUGGUUUGAAUUAGUUAUUGUUUAAUGUAAUACUUAUGGUUUAUCAAUCUAUUGAGA